rnacentral:rRNA from 1 species
CUUUGAGAGAACUAUACUGAAGGAACUCGGCAAAUUGCAUGCGUAACUUCGGGAUAAGCAUGACUUCUAUCGGGGCAACCCUUUAGGAGUGGCACAAAAGAGGGGGUGGCGACUGUUUACUAAAAACACAGGGCUCUGCGAAGUUGCAAAACGACGUAUAGGGUCUGACGCCUGCCCGGUGCCGGAAGGUUAAAAGGAGAGGUGCAAGCUUUGAAUUGAAGCCCCGGUAAACGGCGGCCGUAACGAUAACGGUCCUAAGGUAGCGAAAUUCCUUGUCGGGUAAGUUCCGACCUGCACGAAUGGCGUAACGACUUCCCCACUGUCUCCAGUAUAGACUCAGCGAAAUUGAAUUCCCCGUGAAGAUGCGGGGUUCCUGCGGUCAGACGGAAAGACCCCAUGCACCUUUACUAUAGCUUUACGCUGGCAUUUGUGUCGGCAUGUGCAGGAUAGGUGGUAGGCUUUGAAGCCGGGACGCUAGUUUCGGUGGAGCCAAAAGAUGAGAUACCACCCUUAUCGUCAUAGAUGUCUAACCGCGGCAUAACAGUGUCCGGGACAGCGUAUGGUGGGUAGUUUGACUGGGGCGGUCGCCUCCCAAAGAGUAACGGAGGCGCGCGAUGGUGGGCUCAGAACGGUCGGAAAUCGUUCGACGAGUGCAAUGGCAUAAGCCUGCCUGACUGCGAGACCGACAGGUCGAGCAGAGACGAAAGUCGGUCAUAGUGAUCCGGUGGUCCCGCGUGGAAGGGCCAUCGCUCAACGAAUAAAAGGUACGCUGGGGAUAACAGGCUGAUGAUGCCCAAGAGUCCAUAUCGACGGCAUCGUUUGGCACCUCGAUGUCGGCUCAUCACAUCCUGGGGCUGGAGCAGGUCCCAAGGGUAUGGCUGUUCGCCAUUUAAAGUGGUACGUGAGCUGGGUUUAGAACGUCGUGAGACAGUUCGGUCCCUAUCUGCCGUGGGUGUAGGAAUAUUGAGAAGAGCUGACCCUAGUACGAGAGGACCGGGUUGGACGAAUCUCUGGUGGACCUGUUGUGGCGCCAGCCGCAUUGCAGGGUAGCUAAAUUCGGACGGGAUAACUGCUGAAAGCAUCUAAGCAGGAAGCCUCCUUCAAAACUAGUAUUCCCUUGAGAGCCGUGGAAGACCACCACGUCGAUAGGCCGGGUGUGGAAGCGUAGCAAUAUGUGAAGCUUACCGGUACUAAUAGCUU